rnacentral:misc_RNA from 1 species
UCGUAACAAGGUUUCCGUAGGUGAACCUGCGGAAGGAUCAUUACCGAGUGAGGGCCCUCUGGGUCCAACCUCCCACCCGUGUUUAUUUUACCUUGUUGCUUCGGCGGGCCCGCCUUAACUGGCCGCCGGGGGGCUCACGCCCCCGGGCCCGCGCCCGCCGAAGACACCCUCGAACUCUGUCUGAAGAUUGUAGUCUGAGUGAAAAUAUAAAUUAUUUAAAACUUUCAACAACGGAUCUCUUGGUUCCGGCAUCGAUGAAGAACGCAGCGAAAUGCGAUACGUAAUGUGAAUUGCAAAUUCAGUGAAUCAUCGAGUCUUUGAACGCACAUUGCGCCCCCUGGUAUUCCGGGGGGCAUGCCUGUCCGAGCGUCAUUACUGCCCUCAAGCCCGGCUUGUGUGUUGGGCCCCGUCCUCCGAUCCCGGGGGACGGGCCCGAAAGGCAGCGGCGGCACCGCGUCCGGUCCUCGAGCGUAUGGGGCUCUGUCACCCGCUCUGUAGGCCCGGCCGGCGCUUGCCGAUCAACCCCAAUUUUUAUAGGUUGACCUCGGAUCAGGUAGGGAUACCCGCUGAACCUAAGCAUAUCA